GCGGACGUAGCUCAGUUGGUAGAGCGUCGGCUUCCCAAGCCGAAGGUCGUGGGUUCGAAACCCAUCGUCCGCU
rnacentral:tRNA from 1 species